GGGGAUGUAGCUCAGAUGGUAGAGCAUUUGGCCGAAACGUAGUGCCUUGGCAAAGGCACGGACAGCAAACCAGAACGAUGAGGGUAUUUAUGCAGAUUGUCGCAGGUUCGAUUCCUGUCAUCCCCG
rnacentral:tRNA from 1 species